CCAACGGCUGUGAUGAUGAAGAAUUCCGUUUACAGGCGUGAUCAGCAGGAAACCUGUGCUUGAGGCAAACUUGAAUCUGGCAAGUCUUGCAAGUGCUAGUGUUGGAGAAGGUCAAGAUUCCCUUGCAUCGUUUCACAGGGCAGGUAGGUUUCUUCUUCUUCUUCGGGUCACAAUCCCCAGAUUUCUCGUGUUUCUGCAAUAUGGCCUUAUCGUCUUCAUUUUUGCAUCCGGUAGUCUCAAUGGACACGGAGCAAAUUUCGCAGACCAAAACCUUUCGGCUGUUAAAGUCGGCUUUUGGGCAUUCGUGAGACUUGCAUGAUCUAUGCUCCACACAGAAUACCUGCAACAAUGUUAUCAAGGGGCAUUCAUGAGGUACAUCUAGAUGAAGUAUGUUAAUUUUAUCCUCAUUAAGUUAGUUAGAUGUGCCAAAUAAAUUGAAAUAGAUGGUUAGUUAGAUGUGCCAAAUAAAUUGAAAUAGAUGGUUAGUUAGAUGUGCCAAAUAAAUUGAAAUAGAUGGUGCCACAUAAAUUGAGAUGGACAACACAAUUUAAGAUUUGAACUUUGUGGGUUUGGACUUGUUCAAAAUUUUUUGAUUAUUUGACAUAUAUUUAAGGUUUACGCCAAAGCGGGGUCAGCUGCAUACGACCCCGUAUUAUUGUAGCAGAUGAUAAAAUUAACAUGCUGUACAGAAUGAGUAAAGCAAAAUCGUAAAAUCUACCUUAUGACAAGCAUGGCAGGUAAAAGGGAGAAAAUCGAGUUGAUGACAAUCAGAUAGUUGGCAGUGUCUUCCUAAAUCUGGAAAAGCUUCUGUUCCUCCUCCCAUCCUCUUUCUUCUUCUUCUUUGCUUUUGUUUCUUGUCUUCCUUGUCAAAUACUGAUUUCUUCUCGAGUUGCCUGGAAUGGAGUCUUCAUGGGCUAUAUGAUAGGAUUUUAGGUGCUGGCUUGGGCAAUAAGCAAAAACAAAUUACAGGUGUGAAAGGAAAUAGCAAAGGAAGCCGUGGAGGUGCGGGAAUACGCGCUUACGUCAUCAAUCGGAUCCGGGUCGGUAAAUGCGGUCCAGAACGAUCCAGAAAGUUAGUUAGUUCAUGGCUCUCUGGGCCCAACCAAGCCUCUUCUGCUGGCUGACGCUUUGGGCUUAAUUUUGGUGUUUCUGGGCCUGAACUUCAUGAACUCAAACUGUAUCCAUU
rnacentral:lncRNA from 1 species